rnacentral:misc_RNA from 1 species
CUUACAUGGGAAACUAGAAGGAAGGACUUUGCUGUAAUGAUGUCUCAUCAUGUAGUUACAGUUAUACUGAUUGGAUACUCUUACAUUGCAAGAUUUUUCCGGAUAGGCUCAAUUAUCCUUGCCCUGCAUGAUGCAAGUGAUGUUUUCAUGGAAGCUGCAAAAGUUUUUAAAUAUUCUGGGAAGGAGCUUGGAGCGAGCAUUUGCUUUGGAUUAUUUGCUAUCUCAUGGCUCACACUACGACUAAUAUUCUUUCCCUUUUGGGUAAUCAAGACUUCAAGCUCUGAUAUUGUGGACUUCUUGGAUUUAUCAAAGGCCUACCCCAUUUCACUGUACUAUGUUCAAUACAAUGCUGCUGAUGCUACUUGUAUUCCACAUCUAUUGGUGGGUUCUGAUAUGCUCAAUGAUAAUGAGACAGCUGAGAAAUAGGGGAAAAGUGGGGGA